UGGGGAAUAUUGGACAAUGGGGGGAACCCUGAUCCAGCCAUGCCGCGUGUGUGAAGAAGGCCUUAUGGUUGUAAAGCACUUUAAGCGAGGAGGAGGGUACUGGUAUUAAUACUACCAGGUACUGGACGUUACUCGCAGAAUAAGCACCGGCUAACUCUGUGCCAGCAGCCGCGGUAAUACAGAGGGUGCGAGCGUUAAUCGGAAUUACUGGGCGUAAAGCGCGCGUAGGUGAUUCGUUAAGUUGAAUGUGAAAGCCCCGGGCUCAACCUGGGAACUGCAUCCAAAACUGGCGAGCUAGAGUAGGGCAGAGGGUGGUGGAAUUUCCUGUGUAGCGGUGAAAUGCGUAGAUAUAGGAAGGAACACCAGUGGCGAAGGCGACCACCUGGGCUCAUACUAACACUGAGGUGCGAAAGCGUGGGGAGCAAACAGG
rnacentral:rRNA from 1 species